rnacentral:rRNA from 1 species
UCCGUAGGUGGAUAAUUAAGUCAGAGGUGAAAUCCCACAGCUCAACUGUGGAACUGCCUUUGAUACUGGUUGUCUUGAGUUACAGUGAAGUAGAUAGAAUAUGUAGUGUAGCGGUGAAAUGCAUAGAUAUUACAUAGAAUACCGAUUGCGAAGGCAGUCUACUAACUGUUAACUGACGCUAAGGGACGAAAGCGUGGGGAGCGAACAGGAUUAGAUACCCUGGUAGUCC